rnacentral:misc_RNA from 1 species
CUUGCUCCGGAUGCGGUAUCGCACCCGGCCAUCCGACUCGAUCGGCAUGCAGCCAAUGAUCGUGUAGACGUUCGACCGGAUUUUCUCGGCGCGGCCCUGGGGCCCCUGACUCUGAUGAUGGACGUCGUCGUUGAUCGAAAAGCUGGGGGUCAUGGUUUCUCCUGCUGCGGCGGGUUGUAGCAGCCGGUCGGGGUAAAGCAACGAUACCGGCGGUCCUGGGCUUUGAGACAGGUUAACGCUUUGAUCCGG